rnacentral:rRNA from 1 species
UACGGAGGGGGCUAGCGUUAUUCGGAAUUACUGGGCGUAAAGCGCACGUAGGCGGACCAGAAAGUCAGAGGUGAAAGCCCGGGGCUCAACCCCGGAACUGCCUUUGAAACUCCUGGUCUUGAGGUCGAGAGAGGUGAGUGGAAUUCCGAGUGUAGAGGUGAAAUUCGUAGAUAUUCGGAGGAACACCAGUGGCGAAGGCGGCUCACUGGCUCGAUACUGACGCUGAGGUGCGAAAGCGUGGGGAGCAAACAGG